rnacentral:tRNA from 1 species
GCCGCGAUAGCCCAGUGGUUAGCGCACUGGACUCCGGCUCUUGUGGUCCCGGGUUCAAUUCCCCGUCGCGGCG